rnacentral:rRNA from 1 species
UACGGGGGGGGCGAGCGUUGUCCGAAGUUACUGGGCGUAAAGGGCGCGUAGGCGGGGUGCCAAGUCCGCUGUGAAAGCCUGGAGCUUAACUCCAGCGGGUCGGUGGAUACUGGCACUCUUGAAGGCGUUAGGGGAAGAUGGAAUUACCCGUGGAGCGGUGAAAUGCGUAGAGAUGGGUAGGAACACCGGUGGCGAAGGCGGUCUUCUGGGACGGUACUGACGCUGAGACGCGAAAGCGUGGGGAGCGAACAGG